rnacentral:rRNA from 1 species
AGAGUUUGAUCCUGGCUCAGGACGAACGCUGGCGGCGUGCCUAAUACACGCAAGUCGAACGAAACUUUCUUACACCGAAUGCUUGCAUUCACCGUAAGAAGUUGAGUGGCGGACGGGUGAGUAACACGUGGGUAACCUGCCUAAAAGAAGGGGAUAACACUUGGAAACAGGUGCUAAUACCGUAUAUCUCUAAGGAUCGCAUGAUCCUUAGAUGAAAGAUGGUUCUGCUAUCGCUUUUAGAUGGACCCGCGGCGUAUUAACUAGUUGGUGGGGUAACGGCCUACCAAGGUGAUGAUACGUAGCCGAACUGAGAGGUUGAUCGGCCACAUUGGGACUGAGACACGGCCCAAACUCCUACGGGAGGCAGCAGUAGGGAAUCUUCCACAAUGGACGCAAGUCUGAUGGAGCAACGCCGCGUGAGUGAAGAAGGUCUUCGGAUCGUAAAACUCUGUUGUUAGAGAAGAACACGAGUGAGAGUAACUGUUCAUUCGAUGACGGUAUCUAACCAGCAAGUCACGGCUAACUACGUGCCAGCAGCCGCGGUAAUACGUAGGUGGCAAGCGUUGUCCGGAUUUAUUGGGCGUAAAGGGAACGCAGGCGGUCUUUUAAGUCUGAUGUGAAAGCCUUCGGCUUAACCGGAGUAGUGCAUUGGAAACUGGAAGACUUGAGUGCAGAAGAGGAGAGUGGAACUCCAUGUGUAGCGGUGAAAUGCGUAGAUAUAUGGAAGAACACCAGUGGCGAAAGCGGCUCUCUGGUCUGUAACUGACGUUGAGGUUCGAAAGCGUGGGUAGCAAACAGGAUUAGAUACCCUGGUAGUCC